rnacentral:rRNA from 1 species
CGAGCGCAACCUCCAUUGUUAGUUACUACCAUUCAGUUGAGGACUCUAAUGAGACUGCCAACGACAAGUUGGAGGAAGGUGGGGGAUGACGUCAAAUCAUCAUGCCCUUUAUGACCUGGGCUACAAACGUACUACAAUGGCCAAUACAAAGAGAUGCGAAGCGGUGACGUGGAGCGAACCUCAGAAAGUUGGUCUCAGUUCAGAUUGAAGUCUGCAACCCGACUUCAUGAAGGCGGAAUCGCUAGUAAUCGCGAGUCAGCAGAUCGCGGUGAAUACGUUCCCGGGUUU